AGGCCCGUAGCUCCAACGGUAGAGCGGCGGACUCCAAAUCCGCGUCAGUGGGGGUUCGAAUCCCUCCGGGCCUGCCA
rnacentral:tRNA from 1 species